UUUUGUUAGCAUUAAUCGUUGGUCAAUUUGUACUAUGAGACAAAAUAUCAACUGAGGUAUUUUCUAUCACUACUUAAGUGAAGAGGAAGAGAUAAGAAUAAAAGAAAAGAAGAAAUGGAUAAGAAGAAAAAAGAAAAACAUGGAAGAGGGAAAAAGCAGAAGAGAAAGAGAGUUAUUAGAAAAGAGAAAAGAAAAGAAAAGUAGAAAAAAGAAAAUAAAAGAGAAA
rnacentral:lncRNA from 1 species